rnacentral:lncRNA from 1 species
AAAAACGAUUGGAGACAGCGAGCUCGGGGAGAAAGAACGACAGAGAACGCCAUGAGUUCGUCGAGACGUUCACGGGGUUUUCUACUUGCAGCCCUCUUCGCUGCUAUCUUGCUCUUCGAUCUCGUGUCCAUUGCUGCCGCAGCGCGACCCUGCGACGAUGCUGAUCCGCAGCAACAUGACGGCGAGACGAGGCGGCUUCUGAAGGCGUGGCGCGCCCCGCCUCCCCCUCACACCAAGCCUACCUUCUUUUACUCCCCGGCGCCCCCCCUCCAUUCACCACCUCCCCCACCGCCGCCGCCACCACUACCUCCUCCCCCACCGCCGCCACCGCCACCUCCUCCGCCCCCUCGACGCCGCCACCGCCGCCGCAGUUACCACCAUCGUUCCCGACCUCCUAUCAAGCGGUAACAUGGUCCCCGUCAAUCCGUCAUCCACCACCGUGCACCGCUCCUCGGUAAACUUCCCUUCUUUCAACUGCAUCCAUGAAUCGCAUCCCCGGCUCUUCUUUACUUCAGUCUGGUGUGGUUUGGGUUGACAAAGGGAGAGUCUCGGCUCCACACCGUCGCAGCCGUCACUGUUGUAAUAGUUUUCUUCCAAUGGCUUAUCAUUACGUAUGCUCUGCCUUCUGCUAUCGUUCCGCCUUGUUUUCAGGAGUUUAUCUUAUGUGCUGUAAAUUUCGAGCAGCAACGUCAAUACAUGUCCGUUAUCUUCGACUUCAUUGAUGUAACAUUGAUGUAGAUGAUGAACUCUUCUUCGCAUGGAUUAAGAGGAGAUCCGUCCCUUUGUCCAUCCAACUCCAAGCCUAUUUUGGACAUUUUUGGGCUUUCCAUGAUCAUGGAAACGAUUGAAAUACCAUUCUUUUUGCACUUUCAAACGACGACGUAGCACCAAAAAAAUUUUACGUCACGAAGAAAUUCACCUUUAACCCUCUUAUACUAAUUUCGUAGUCUAUUGUCCCUUUUUAUAUCCUAAAAACCACAGCACUUAAAAGAAAUCUACCAUAUAUUUGUCUUAAAGCCGAACCUCUUACAAUUCAUUAAUAUAAAACAUUAUUGUCGAAUGUAAAAAUAUAUUUUAUAAAGUGAUGGCAAUGAAAAUUAUCUUCAUCUCAUGCUUGAUGGUACUCGAAAACUAAUGGCAAGAGUUCUUUAGUGCAAAAGGGAAUAAUAAGCCAAUAAAAGAAGUUUUGAUAAAACACAACUAGAACACUUAAUUACUCAAACUAAGAGAUUCUUGAUAAUCAAAUUGUUUAUAUGUUUCUUCUCUUUUAGAAAUACUGAUGCCAUGUAAGCAAAUAUUGGGGAGAGAAAAAACUGGCCCGAGACUACAAACCAACCACCAGAGGAAUCAUUUAUUAUGCAUCAAUUACAACUGAACUAUGCAUAUGAAAUCAAAAACUAUUCGCAGAAAGCAUGAAAACGAAAAUUCACAUUUAUUAUCAAAGGUCUUAGUAGUGAUGGUCGAAUUUGGAUAUUAUGCAUACCAAUUUCAUUGUACUUAUAAUAAUAUGUUAAUAUAAUAUAUUUUUAAUUGUGAAUCGUAAAUUAUUUUCAUAAUGACAUUAAUGAGGAAGCUUGCUCCAAAGAACUACGUACUGAUAAGUCACUCACAUACGUUCUGUGAAUACUUAAUUAAUGAUAUCAAUUCCAUUGUUAAACGAAACAAGGAACCUUGCAAAAUCCAAUGAUAUUACUCUAGGCUUGUGAAGGCCACCAAGCUUGCUGAUAAAUCAUAGAACCUUAAAAAGGGCACACCUCAUUGAUACAAUCCGAAAAGUAGAACAAUGACAUUCCAAAUCACGUGUUAAUUGUAUACUUAAGGAUUUUGGUUCCAAGAGGAUACAAAUAAGUGUACUAUUUGAGUACAUUCGAAAAGAAUUUGAACGAUCUUCCAAAAUGAUGUUAAAGAUGUCUUUCCUAGCAAGGUAUGACAUUAUUUAAAACCAUUUCGUUGAUUAUUUCCAGGCUGCGAUAGCGUGGUGAGAAGAGGCAGCACUAUAGAAGCACGUUAUCUCUCACUCUCCCUACAUUGGACAUAAUGAUGUGUUCAGAUCCUAGUAAAAUGUCUAUUUGAGAACUGAAACUUACUAACUAUGCUACGAACUAAUAGGGGAUAUGGCUGAGGCGGUGGGUGUGCUCCCUAUUAUCUUGUGUUCAAACCCUCCUGAGAAGACUCGAUGCA